AUUAUCAUUAUUAUCAUAUAUAUAUGUAUGUGUGUAUAUACAUAUACACAUAUACAUAUAUAUAUGUUAUUUGUAAAAGUUGUACUUUGUGUUUUUAACUGCAUAAUAUCAGAGAGAUAGAUAGAGAGAUAGAAAG